CAAUAGCGUAUAUUAAAGUUGUUGCGGUUAAAAAGCUCGUAGUUGGAUUUCUGCUGAGAACGACCGGUCCGCCCUUUGGGUGUGUAUCUGGCUCUUUCUUGGCAUCUUCUUGGUGAACGUUGCUGCACUUGACUGUGUGGAGCGCUACCCAGGACUUUUACUUUGAGGAAAUUAGAGUGUUUCAAGCAGGCAUACGCCUUGAAUACAUUAGCAUGGAAUAAUAAGAUAGGACCUCGGUUCUAUUUUGUUGGUUUCUAGAGCUGAGGUAAUGAUUAAUAGGGAUAGUUGGGGGCAUUCGUAUUUAACUGUCAGAGGUGAAAUUCUUGGAUUUGUUAAAGACGGACUACUGCGAANANAUUUGCNAAGGAUGUUUNCAUUG
rnacentral:rRNA from 1 species